UACGGAGGAUGCAAGCGUUAUCCGGAAUUAUUGGGCGUAAAGCGUCCGCAGGUGGUUAUCCAAGUCUGCUGUUAAAGCGCGAGGCUUAACUUCGUACAGGCAGUGGAAACUGGGUGACUGGAGUAUGGUAGGGGUAGCGGGAAUUCCCAGUGUAGCGGUGAAAUGCGUAGAUAUUGGGAAGAACACCAGCGGCGAAAGCGCGCUACUGGGCCAUUACUGACACUCAUGGACGAAAGCUAGGGGAGCGAACAGG
rnacentral:rRNA from 1 species